rnacentral:lncRNA from 10 species
CUCUGUGCAAAGGCAGAGGCUGUGGGAGCAGCAUCAAGCAAGACUUCGGGCAGUGAUUCUAACUAUUGCCUAUGAACACCGUGGCUGGGACGACUUUGACGAGGCAAUUUAUUACUUACGCAUAGAACACUGGCUGUGCUGAAACUGGGAGCGCAAACAGCCCCUUGUUUUCUAAUUUAGAGACUUGCAUCUUUUCGACACUCAACAGUAUCAAGACACUCUGCUACUACAGAAUCUUCUGGAGAGGAAAGAAGAAACCAUGUCUAGACAAGGUGCUGGAAAGACCCAGGGAAGACACAGGGAAAUCAUCUUUCGGGAAUUUAUCUAAGAAGAACUUCUUAUGAUAUAUGAAGUCUGGGGGUAAGACCUGCAGUAAUUUCCCUUAAGAUACUACAGAAUUUCCAAGGACUUGAGGAAUAAUUGCACUCUUGAAAGAGCCUAUGAAAAAAGAAGAGACUUGGGAAAUUUAACAGAAGUUCACUUUCCACCACUGCGCAAACUAAGGAAAAACUUAAAGCAGUAAAUAGCUGCGGUUGGCAAAGCUGUUUUGGCUCAGGAGCAGCUAUCAGGCCUUGAUAAGGUCCACAAGUCUGCUGUUCUAAAAUCAAAAAAAAAAAAAAAAA